CCUACGGGGUGCAGCAGUGGGGAAUAUUGGACAAUGGGCGAAAGCCUGAUCCAGCCAUGCCGCGUGUGUGAAGAAGGCCUUCGGGUUGUAAAGCACUUUCAGUGGGGAAGAAAGCCUUGGGGCUAAUACCCUCGAGGAAGUACAUCACCCACAGAAGAAGCACCGGCUAACUCCGUGCCAGCAGCCGCGGUAAUACGGAGGGUGCGAGCGUUAAUCGGAAUUACUGGGCGGUAAGCGCGCGUAGGCGGUCUGAUAAGCCGGUUGUGAAAGCCCCGGGCUCAACCUGGGAACGGCAUCCGGAACUGUCAGGCUAGAGGGCAGGAGAGGAAGGUAGAAUUCCCGGUGUAGCGGUGAAAUGCGUAGAGAUCGGGAGGAAUACCAGUGGCGAAGGCGGCCUUCUGGACUGACACUGACGCUGAGGUGCGAAAGCGUGGGUAGCAAACAGGAUUAGAUACCCUUGUAGU
rnacentral:rRNA from 1 species